rnacentral:rRNA from 1 species
GGCUACACACGUGCUACAAUGGUGGUGACAGUGGGCAGCGAGACCGCGAGGUCGAGCUAAUCUCCAAAAACCAUCUCAGUUCGGAUUGCACUCUGCAACUCGGGUGCAUGAAGUUGGAAUCGCUAGUAAUCGCAGAUCAGCAUGCUGCGGUGAAUACGUUCCCGGGCCUUGUACACACCGCCCGUCACACCAUGGGAGUUGGUUCUACCCGAAGGCGCUGCGCUAACCGCAAGGAGGCAGGCGACCACGGUAGGGUCAGCGACUGGGGUGAAGUCGUAACAAGGUAGCCGUAGGGGAACCUGCGGCUGGAUCACCUCCUUUCUAAG